CAGCAGCCGCGGUAAGACAGAGGAUGCAAGCGUUAUCCGGAAUGAUUGGGCGUAAAGCGUCUGUAGGUGGCUUUUCAAGUCCGCCGUCAAAUCCCAGGGCUCAACCCUGGACAGGCGGUGGAAACUACCAAGCUGGAGUAUGGUAGGGGCAGAGGGAAUUUCCGGUGGAGCGGUGAAAUGCGUUGAGAUCGGAAAAAACACCAACGACGAAAGCACUCUGCUGGGCCGACACUGACACUUAGAGACGAAAGCUAGGGGAGCAAAUGGGAUUAGAUACCCCAGUAGUCCCUGUCUCUUAUAC
rnacentral:rRNA from 1 species